rnacentral:rRNA from 1 species
UACGUAGAGUACAAGCGUUAUCCGGAUUUAUUGGGCGUAAAGCGUAUCGCAGGUGGGGAUAUACGUGGCGAGUGCAAGCCUUCAGCUCAACUGAAGAAUUGCUUGUCAUACGGUAUCUCUUGAGUCUGUUGGAGGGAACUGGAAUUCUUCGUGGAGGGGUGAAAUCCGUAGAUACGAAGAGGAACGCCAAGGGUGAAGACAAGUUCCUACGGCAGCACUGACACUCAUGAACGACAGCUAGGGGAGCAAAAGGG